ensembl:lncRNA
AAAGAAUGUUAAUAGGAAAAAAAAAAAAAAAAGCCAAACCUACACAUUUUAGCCAUUAUAGAAAUCCUGGCUAGGAUAUGUUCAGUCUGGGAAAAUGAGGAUGUAUGGUCACCCUAAUCAAAAAAAGCAGAAGUGUGAAAUGUUUAUUAUAAAUAUAAAAAUUCACUUAAUAUUGCAAAGUAUCUGUAAAAAGUAGUUUCAGUCUACUCCAUUUUCUGAAAAAUAAGUUGCACCUGGUUAAAAUUGCAUUGUCGGGGUAAAAUGCUGUCAUUGUUUACCUAGUGAACAAGAAAUGUUCCUCAAGGUAUGAACAAACAUUCUUUCACUCACAAAAAUAGACAGUUUGUUCAGAGUUUUUAAGGUCUUUAUUAGUUCAAUUCAAUUCAAGUUUAUUUGUAUAGCGCUUUUUACGAUACAAAUCAUUGCAAAGAAACUUUACAGAAAAUUAAGUUUCUACAAUAUUUAGUAGUAGCUUAUCAGUGGUGACUGUCAGUUUAUGUGUAUACGGCAGAAAUUAGUCUUUGAUAAUGUUCUCAAAACAUUAGCUUAUUAAUGUUCAUGUAAGAUUAAAAAAAAAAAGCAUUCAGAGCGUUCAGAGAACAUUUAAAAGUAAUGUUCUCCUAAUGUUCACAUAACCAAAAAAAAAAAAAGUUUCUAAAAGAAUUUAAAAACAUAUAUAUAAAAACCCGAUUCCAAAAAAGUUGGGACACUGUACAAAUUGUGAGUAAAAAAGGAAUGGAAUAAUUUACAAAUCUCAUAAACUUAUAUUUUAUUCGCAAUAGAAUAUAGAUAACAUAUCAAAUAUUGAAAGGGAGACAUUUUGAAAUGUCAUGCCAAAUAUUGGCUCAUUUUGGAUUUCAUGAGAGCUACACAUUCCAAAAACGUUGGGACAGGUAGCAAUAAGAGGCCGGAAAAGCUAAAUGUACACAUAAGGAACAGCUGGAGGACCAAUUUGCAACUUAUUAGGUCAAUUGGCAACAUGAUUGGGUAUAAAAAGAGCCUCUCAGAGUGGCAGUGUCUCUCAGAAGUCAAGAUGGGCAAAGGAUCACCAAUUCCCCCAAUAGGAACAGCUGGAGGACCAAUUUGCAACUUAUUCAGUGUCUCUCAGAAGUCAAGAUGGGCAGAGGAUCACCAAUUCCCCCAAUGCUGCGACGAAAAAUAGUGGAGCAAUAUCAGAAAGGAGUUUCUCAGAGAAAAAUUGCAAAGAGUUUAAAGUUAUCAUCAUCUACAGUGCAUAAUAUCAUCCAAAGAUUCAGAGAAUCUGGAACAAUCUCUGUGCGUAAGGGUCAAGGCCGGAAAACCAUACUGGAUGCCCGUGAUCUUCAGGCCCUUAGACGGCACUGCAUCACAUACAGGAAUGCU